ACAACAUUCGGACCGUCGAUCCACCGAGCAAAACCAUCCUUUCGGUGGAAGAUCUACCCUCCAUCGU
rnacentral:pre_miRNA from 1 species